UACGAAGGGGGCUAGCGUUGCUCGGAAUCACUGGGCGUAAAGGGCGCGUAGGCGGCGUUUUAAGUCGGGGGUGAAAGCCUGUGGCUCAACCACAGAAUGGCCUUCGAUACUGGGACGCUUGAGUAUGGUAGAGGUUGGUGGAACUGCGAGUGUAGAGGUGAAAUUCGUAGAUAUUCGCAAGAACACCGGUGGCGAAGGCGGCCAAACUGGACCAUUAC
rnacentral:rRNA from 1 species